GAAGCAUAUUACAAAGUUUAGAUCAUGUCUGUAAUAAUGGGAAUCCAUUUUAAAUUGUCUGUAACAACUGGGAAUCCUUUUGAAACCAAAACAGCCACAACUUUAGCUUUUGUUGAAGUAUCUGUGAGAUAGACCUGUCCUACCCAAUUUUUUAUUAAUAGAGAUUUAUCCUGUUCCAUUAAAUGAGUCUCCUAUAGAUAAGCAAUAUCUGCCCUUAAUUAUAUUAAAUAUGCUAAGAUUACAUUUGUUCCCUUGGGUUCUCAAAACCAUUUUACAUUAAGGUUAAGUAACUUCAUUCUCAGUCAGAUCAGAAUUUGGAGAUUGGGGCUAAAGUAGUAGACAGUAUAGAACAGGGUAAUAGCUUACCUCAUAAUAUUUCCGUAUUUUUCCAUCCAUUUCCUAUCAGCUCAGUUGUUGAUAAUGAACUGCACUCCAAAUUAAUGCAAAGAUAAAGCAUGCUAUAAAAUAUUUAAUACCCUUCAAAACACGAAGAUGGUAAGUGAAUCAACGAGCUCUUAUAAUCAUGUCAUCUUGUUGAAGUUUAUGAGAUAAUUAUAAAUCAGAUUAAAUUAAUAUGAGCCAUCUUUGGAGAUGCUGUUAUCAGCAUGUUCACAGUUAAUUCUGCUUGUACAUGGUUUAGAAAACACUGAUGUUGCUUAAUGAGACAAUAUUUAAUCUUUCUGAUUCUUCCAUAGCAAAAUUAUCUCUUGGAUCAGGACAAAAAGAAUAUAGGAGAAAUGAAUUGAUAUUGAGAAGCAAAGACAAACUGAAUUUUUUAAGGAGAAAAACUCAGUGGUACCCUUGAUCUUGUCCAGCAUCUAAGGGGCUGCCACAAAGAAGAGGGGCUCAACCUAUUCUCCAUAGCACCUGAAGGCAGGACAAGAAGCAAUGGAUGGAAACUAAUCAAAGAGAGAAGCAACCUAGAACUAAGGGGAAAUUUCCUGACAGUGAAAACAAUUAAUCAGUGGAACAACCUACCUCCAGAAGUUGUGAAUGUUCCAACACUAGAGGUUUUAAAGAAGAUAUUGGACAAUGAUCUGCCUGAAAUGGUUUCCUGCUUGAGCAGAGGUUUGGACUAGGAAACCUUCCAACUCUGUUUUAUUCUGUUAUUUUUUAAUGUUUUUUUUCUUUUUCAACUUAUGCUAACCUUUCCCAGGAUCAACAAUUUUUCUCAUGUUUUCUGCCCAUGUUGCUUGCCCCGAAUGCGUGAACUUCUUGCUUCAUCCCCUCAAGUGAAAAAGCAGUCAUAAAUUUUUCCAAGAUUCACUUAGUGCUUCUUGCAAUAACUCUUAUCAACCAUCUCCAAUUUCAUAUCUUGAAGCAAUGUUCUCUCACUCUUACGUCGAGCUUUCAUAGCCAUACACAAAAAUCACUGCUGUAAUUUGUUGUCGCAGAAAUGUCCUGUAUAGACUAAUCCCAGGGGUGACAGGUUCAGCAGGUUCUGACAGGUUCUGGAGAACCGGUAGUGGAAAUUUUGAGCAAAAGAAGAAGGGGACGGCAGAGAACGAGGUGGCUGGAUGGAGUCACUGAAGCAGUCUGUGUGAGCUUAAAUAGACUACGGGGUAUGGUAGAGCAAAGGAAGGCCUGGAGGAACAUUGUUCAUGGGGUCGCGAUGGAUCGGACACUACUUCACGACUAUCAACAACAACAAGUAUAUUAAGUGUACAUAUAUUCCAAAAUUAAUGAAAGCUGCAUGAUGGAACUAGCCUAAUGAAGACUCAGAUGACCUAAGGAUCUGUGUAAAUGUAUACAGAUAGUCCUCCACUUACAAUCACAAUUGGGACCAGAAUUUCCAAGAUGGUUAAGGUAAUUAUUCCUGAUUUUUUAAAAUCUUUUUUGCCAUGGUUGUUAACAUUUAUAUUGCAUUUGCAUAGCACCAGAGGUUUCUGAGAGAAGUAGCUCACUGUGAAUGGAAGAGGAAUGAAAAUUUGUCCAGUGGAUCAAGCUAGUCACCUGGGAACAGAGUCACUGGUUGCAUUUGUGUUGCAUUUGCAUAGUACCAAAGGUUGCUGGGAGAAGUACUUUACCAUGAGUUGAAGAGAACUGAGACUUGGUCCAGUGGAUCUAGGGAGCAUCUAUUUACACUGACUUUGUGAAAUUAUUCAUUGUGAGGGUAUCUGAUCUUCUGAUCAAAAGUGCAUCAAGCAAUAGUUCGCCUUUGAUAAAUGCUUGUGUGAUUGUGAUUUUAUUUUAGAGUAUCUGGUUUAGUUCACUGCAACACUUGUUUUUCAGCUGUUUUUAUGGUAUUUUUGGAUACUGUCCUAUUUGUAAGCAGAUUGUUAGUUUACAUGGAUUGAUUGCUUGGUUUUAUCCACAAAUCUAUGCUAUUUACUAGUUUUCUGCAUAAUCUAUUUUAAGGUUGACUGGAGUCUCCUCUGGGAAGAGAUUAGAGGUUGUGCAACUGUUUGGAUGCACUUGUGCAGAAGCAAUACUGCUAUUAUAUAUACUGUCUUUUCUGAACCUUGUUGCAAGAAUGAAGUAUUGUAAAAAGGCAGGACUGUCCAGGAACAAGCCCCAACCGAUUA